UCGGGAUGUAGAAAUAAAGUGAACAGCACUUUUGUGCUUCACGCUAAUUCCAAGUGCCAACACACUUGAUAAUUCGAGAACUAAGUGAAAAGGUAAAUCUAGUGGCGGACGGGUGAGUAACGCGUGAACAAUCUGCCCUGUACAGCGGAAUAGCCUCGGGAAACCGGGAUUAAAACCGCAUAAUACUUAAGUAUCGCAUGAUGCAUAAGUCAAAUUGAUUAAGAGGUAUAGGAUGAGUUCGCGUCUGAUUAGCUAGUUGGCGGGGUAAUAGCCCACCAAGGCGACGAUCAGUAGCCGGCCUGAGAGGGUGAACGGCCACACUGGAACUGAGACACGGUCCAGACUCCUACGGGAGGCAGCAGUGGGGAAUAUUGCACAAUGGAGGGAACUCUGAUGCAGCGACGCCGCGUGAGUGAAGAAGGUCUUCGGAUCGUAAAACUCUGUCCUUGGUGAAGAUAAUGACGGUAACCAAGGAGGAAGCCCCGGCUAACUACGUGCCAGCAGCCGCGGUAAUACGUAGGGGGCUAGCGUUGUCCGGAUUUACUGGGCGUAAAGGGUGAGUAGGCGGUUAUGUAUGUCAGAUGUAAAAGGCGCGGGCUUAACUUGCGUUAGCAUUUGAAACUGCAUAACUUGAGUGCAGGAGAGGUAAGCGGAAUUCCUAGUGUAGCGGUGAAAUGCGUAGAUAUUAGGAGGAACACCGGUGGCGAAGGCGGCUUACUGGACUGUAACUGACGCUGAGUCACGAAAGCGUGGGUAGCAAACAGGAUUAGAUACCCUGGUAGUCCACGCUGUAAACGAUGAGUGCUAGGUGUUGGGUAGCGAUACUCAGUGCCGGAGUAAACACAAUAAGCACUCCGCCUGGGGAGUACGGUCGCAAGACUGAAACUCAAAGGAAUUGACGGGGACCCGCACAAGCAGCGGAGCAUGUGGUUUAAUUCGAAGCAACGCGAAGAACCUUACCAAGGCUUGACAUCCCCUUGACAGAAUCAGAGAUGUUUCCUCUCCUUCGGGAGCAAGGGAGACAGGUGGUGCAUGGUUGUCGUCAGCUCGUGUCGUGAGAUGUUGGGUUAAGUCCCGCAACGAGCGCAACCCCUGCCUUCAGUUACCAUCAUUAAGUUGGGGACUCUGGAGGGACCGCUGCGGUAACAACGCAGAGGAAGAUGGGGACGACGUCAAGUCAUCAUGGUCCUUAUGGCCGGGGCUACACACGUGCUACAAUGGCAGUUACAGAGGGAAGCGAGACAGUAAUGUGGAGCGAAACUCAGAAAAGCUGUCGCAGUUCGGAUUGAGGUCUGCAACUCGGCCUCAUGAAGUUGGAAUCGCUAGUAAUCGCGCAACAUCAUGGCGCGGUGAAUACGUUCCCGGGCCU
rnacentral:rRNA from 1 species